rnacentral:lncRNA from 1 species
GACCCCAACACAAACUAAAUUAUUGUAAAAUAGAACCGCCCAUCAUUUCUGAACUUCCAUUAACAAUGACACGGUUUGAAAUGAUCCCUUGAAUACUUCAACCAGAUGUCCCAUUUGCUUGUGCCUUCAUUCUCUUUUUGGUUGGCGAUUUAUUGGGUUCUGAUUGCUGUUAUUUUCCCGUAAAGACAAACAACAUAGCGGUAAAAUUCAUUGUUACUUAUCAAAAUAGCAUAUAGAAAUAAACAGAAACUCCAUGGCUUUUUCAAACUCAAAGAAAACCCACACUGUCCGGCUAAAAAAUUACAAAAUAAAAUAAAAGUAGGGCUCGACUUACCAUAAAUUAGCUGAGCUCCUCCUGGAUGUUUUGGAACUGUCAUCUUCUUCGAAUCACACCCUUAAUGUCGACCACAAUUCUCUAUUGCGCUUACUCUCUCAGAACCUCUCUCCGACAUGUAUUAAUUGUUUCACUUUCAGAACUUUAAUUCUGAAAACAAUUUUCCAUUUGAUAAUGUGAACUCGCUCACUUGUUCGUGAAGUUAAAUGACAACAUUACCCUAUUAUUCCUGACAUAUGGGCCACAUAAGCACCAUGUAAGCUAUUCUAACUUUUAUUUGACUGAAUAAGAGGGAAAUAGGGCAUAGUGUGAAAGGUUAUAUGUUUUGGGAGGGUUAAGUGAGAAAAACUAAAUUUCACGGGGCAAACAGAGAGCAAGUAUGAACUUCGUACGGUGUUGUAGUAAUAAAGUGUUUUUUUUUUUUUUUUUGGGGUCAUGGUUGAGUGACAAGUAAUUAAUUUUCUUCGGAUAAACUUGCAUCCGUCCAUGAGGGAAUGCACCACUCCUCACGAAUAAUGUAUUUAUAAAUUCCCUAAUUAGAGCCAUUCAAUUAUUUAAUCUUCUUUUGAAGAUCAUUCCACAAAAUAAAUAAAUAAUUAAGUAAUCUAAUCGUGGAUAUGCUACUUGGUACUCACACUGUCAAAAUUUGUUCCAUAUAUUUUGAUAGCUAAACGAUCAAUGAUUCAAAUGAUAUUUUUCUUGGGAUGAUCUUUUAAUGAAGAUAAAGAAGUUGAUCAGUUCCAAUUAAAAAGUUUAUAUGGUAAGAAUAUGUUAUUUGCUAGUGGCGGAAUAUAGGCAUUCUCCUAUAAAGAUGCAAGUAUUAAACUUUAUCUAUUAUCCAUUUUCUUGUUCUUUCUAAAUAUACCAUAACUGUGACAGCCUGUCUCGAAAUAUAUUUUCGAUAGCGUGAAAUGACUUUUAUACCCUUGGACAUUAGAUGGUGUUGUGUGACAUGCACUUUGGUUGUGGACCAAAUAUGUUAAGUUCUAAUUGUUUGGACCCAAUUAGAACUAAGUUUUUCUUUGUUUUUGGUUGGUAGCCCAAGCUGGACCACACUCACACACACGCAUUCAAUCCCGUUGACUCUCUCUCUUCUCUCUCGGACUCUUCCCAUUUUCCAUACAACUGUAUGGACAACUCCUAACCGAGCUUCACCAGUUACGGAUCGAGGUUGUAGUUGGUGUUUUUGGACUCCUAGCGAGCUCAGGAGUUGUUUUAUACCUUUCGUUGGACAUGAAAGCUUCGAAAGCUCGGGAACCAGGAAACCCUCGAAGAGGUGCACAGUAGCUAAAUCGUGAUCGCGAAGAUUUCAUUGAGUUAUAAGGUCCUAGGGAGCCUUAGAUUUUGUUGACGAAGCUUAAGGAACAAUUUUGAAGUGUUUUGGACGUUAGGAAGCUCGGGUUCGACAAGUUGCAGAGGUGGUCGAAUUAUCGUGAUUUUUCCAGCGAGAUCCCGUGAGUUUUAAGAACUAAAAAUGGUAAGAUUUUGUUCCUCUCAUCAUAAGCUCCAUUUUGAUAUAAAAUUCGUGAAUUUUGGUUGAGAAUUGAAGAAGAUAUGACGAUUAGAACUUUUUCCCAAUUUUCUGCGACGAUGACGGAAUCUGGUUACUCGCUGGAGAAAAAGGCGAAUAUUCCAUCAAAGUUGAUGGAAUAUUCCCUAACGGUGUUACAGAUUCACUCCACUAUGCCAGGCACGUGCCUGCGCGUGGCCGCGCAUGUGGUCGUGCCUUGGUCGGUGCGUAAGGGCGCGUGGGUGCUUGGAAACUUUUUCUAAAAAUAUGGGGUUGUUCAUGGGGUUGAGUAGGUCACUGUGGUAUAUUCAAACAUCCCAUUUGAGCAAUAAAUGAGAAGUUAUUACCUAAUUUUGGUUAUGUGCUUAAAAUAACGUCUAAAUAGUUGUUUCGCAUAUAGGUGAUACCUAUCUAGAGAAUGAGCGCAAUCAAGCCAGACUCAGGGGCUACAACCUUUCCACAUAUCAGUGAAUGAGCUUUUGGUUUUCAGUAUAUACUUAUAUACUUGCUAUUUUUCCCAGAAAAUGUGUUUAAAUGAAAUUAUGUUUUGAAAUGCCAUGCUUAUUGAUUUAUACUUAGAUUAUGAAUUAGUAUAGUAAUUGCAUAUAUCUAUGUUCGACGCUGUGGAUGCUCAAGUAAGUGACAGGUGAGUUGUAAAUUGUUAAUAUGAGUUGAUGAUUAUUUUGAGAUGCAUUAAGAGCUCAUAAACCUGCACCCCGGUGCUAGUGCUCCUGCCCGUGGUUAGGGCAUGGUCCUUCAUGUGAUGUUCACCUCCCUCACCAUACGCUUACGUUAGAUCUAAGUUAGGUGUACGGUCUUGUAGUACAGACCACUAUAGGUGGUUCCGACUCGUAGGUGACCGGCGAUUAUUCACACAGUCUUCACGUGAUCGUAGUACUUGAGCGUAUUUGUUUACACCCAGUCCUGUCGUACAGACCACUAGAGGUGGUUCUGAUUCGUGUGAAGGCAUACUUGUUGAGCUAUAGAUUCAGCUGUACAAGCCACUUUAGGUGGAUCCAGCUUAUAUGUUAUUCUCAUGAAUUUAUUUCACCUGAGUUGCUUAUUCAGCUAUUUUGAGAUAUUUGGCAUGGCAUACUUUUGAAUAUUACUAUUCUGAGCAUGGUUUUGAGAUAUGUAUAUAUUUUAUUUUCUGGGAAAUUAUACAGGUUUUACGGCGAGGGGCUACUAUCUUUCAUGUUGAAAUGGUUUUGAAAAGCUUUGUUUUUGCCCUCUCACACUUUCUGCUUUGCGCCCCUCCAAGUUUUAGGUAGGAGUGCUUGUUGGUGGCUUACGAGGAUUUGACGGAGGUUGUGACAGAUUAUCACCGAUGUAGGAUCACCUUUGGGUGUUGUAUAAUUAGUAUUCAUCCUGCUGGAAUGCACUUAGGCUACUUAUACUCUGGUUGUGCAAUCACACUUAAUAUCGCACUUGCACCUUAUCUUAUCUAGUGCUCUAGUAGGUUUGGUUUUUUGUUUAUUCGCAUUCCUUAUAUUAAUAUUGCUUCCACACUGUGCACAUGGCUACGUCACCCUCACGCGACAAUUCGCAUUCCUUAUUAAUUUAUACUUGGAUUAUGAAUUAGUAUAGUAAUUGCAUAUAUCUAUGUUCGAUGCUAUGGAUGCUCAGGUAAAUGCCAGGUGAGUUGUAAAUUGUUAAUGUGAGUUGAUGAUUAUUUUGAGAUGCAUUGAGAGCUCAUAAACCUGCACCCCGGUGUCAGUGCUCCCACCCGUGGUUAAGCACAGUCUUUCACGUGAUGUUCACCUCCCGCAGCAUACGCUCACAUUGGAUCCAAGUUAGGUGCACAGUCCUGUCGUACAUACCACUAUAGGUGGUUCUGACUUGUAGGUGACCCGCUAUUAUUCGUACAGCCUUCACGCGAUCGUAGCACUUGAGCGUAUUUGUUUACACCAAGUCUUGUCGUAUAGACCACUAUAGGAGGUUCCAACUCGUGUGCAGGCAUACUUGUUGAGCUAUAGAUUUAGCCGUACAGGGCACUGUAGGUGGAUCUAGCUGAUAUGUUAUUCUUAUGAAUUUAUUUCACCUGAGCUACUUAUUCAGUUAUUUUGAGAUAUAUGGAAUGGUAUACUUUUGAAUAUUACUAUUCUGAACAUGGUUUUGAGAUAUGUAUAUAUUCAAUUUUCUGGGAAAUUAUACAGGUUUUACAGCAAGGGGUUACUAUCUUUGAUGUUGAAAUGGUUUUGUAAAGCUUUGUUUUUGCCCACUCACACUUUCUGUUUUGCGCCCCUCUAGGUUUUAGGUAGGAGUGCUUAUUGGUAGCUUACGAGUAUUUGACGGAGGUUCUGACAGAUUAUCACCAAUGUAGGAUCACCUUUGGGUGUUGUAUAAUUAGUAUUCGUCCUGCUAGACUGUACUUAGACUACUUGUGCUUUGGUUGUGCAAUCACACUUAAUAUCGCACUUGCACCUUAUCUUAUCUAGUGCUUUAGUUGGUUUGGUUUUUUGUUUAUUCGCAUUCCUUGAAUUAAUA